AGAGUUUGAUCCUGGCUCAGAAUGAACGCUAGUAGUAUGCUUUACACAUGCAAGUUUAACGGUAGAAAUAUCGUAGCGAACGGGUGAGUAAUGGCAGAUUAAUACCUUUUAGUUUAGGACAAUGUUUAUUGAUAAAUUAAAUACUAAAUAUAUAGAAAGGUUUUUCCAUAACCGCUAAAAGAUAAAUUUGUUAAAGAUUAAAUUGUUGGUAAUUUAAAAGAUUACCAAGUUUACGAUCUUUAGUUGGUCUUAGAGGAUGAUCAACCACACUGGAACUGAAAUAAGGUCCAGGCUGAUACGUCAGCCAGCAGUGAGGAAUAUUGGACAAUGAACGAAAGUUUGAUCCAGCAAUACUACUUGGAUGAUGACGGCUUUCAAAGUUGUAAAAUCCAGUUAUUAAAAUAAAGAUAAUGACAUUAUUUAAUGAUAAAGUCCCGGCUAAUACUCGUGCCAGCAGCCGCGGUAAUACGGGAGGGGCAAGCGUUAUUCGCCAUAACUGGGCGUAAAGAGUCCGUAGACUGUAGAGCAAGUUUUUUGUUAAAUCUUAAAACCUAAUUUUAAAUCAAUCAAAAAAUACUGUUUUACUUGAGUUUAAUACAGAAAAGUAGAAUUUUAUACGAAAGGGUGAAAUCUGCAGAUAUAUAAAGGAAUGCCAUUAGCGAAGGCGACCUUUUAGUAUAAACUGACGUUGAGGGACGAAAGUGUGGGUAGCAAAUAGGAUUAGAUACCCUGGUAGUCCACACUGUAAAUUCUGAGUGUUGUAAUUUAAUUGUAAUUUGAAAAGUAUAAAUUAUUUAGAUUUUUAAGCUAACGCAAUAAACACUCCGCCUGAAGAGUACGAUCGCAAGGUUGGAAUUCAAAGGAAUUGACGGGGGCCUAUCACUAGUGGUGGAGCAUGUGGUUUAAUGCGAUAAUCCGCGCAAAACCUUACCAAUUCUUGAAUAGUAUUAUAGUCUUUACUGAUUUUGAUAUUACAGGUGUUGCACGACUGUCGUCAGCUCGUGUCGUGAGACGUUUGGUUAAGUCCUGAAACGGGCGCAACUCUUGUCUUUAAAUUACUUUGUUUUAAAGAAACAAUUAACGAUAAGUUAAGGGAAGGUAAGAAUUAAGUCAAGUCAAUGUGACCCUUAUGAAUUGGGCUACACAUGUGCUACAAUGAAAAUCACAAAAAGUAACAAAAAAGCGAUUUUAAGUUAAUCUACAAAAAUUUUCCCAGUUCGGAUUGUAAACUGCAACUCGUUUACAUGAAGUUGGAAUCACUAGUAAUCGCAAAUCAGAACGUUGCGGUGAACAUGUAAAUUGGCCUUGUACACACCGCCCGUCACUUGCAAAGAGCUAGUUUUGCUUGAAGAUUUUAACAGAAUCCAUUGAAGAAUUAGCAAUUUGGAUGAAGUCGUAACAAGGUAGCC
rnacentral:rRNA from 1 species